CUGCCGUGGAGGGCUGCGAGAACGCCACAACCUCUCCGGUUACCAGGUCCCUGAGGCGUCACUUCUGGAAACAAUUCCGUAGAGUUCUGCAGAAGUGAUGUGUCGUAUGGUGCAUCCAAACAAGAUGGUUCCUCAGCAACGCUUAUUCAUCAGGUGCUGUGGACUAUCAGAGAAUGAGAGCCUCAACGAAGAAUUGCUACACCUAAAAAUACUGUUCUGAAGAAGUGGUUACUCAGAUCAACAUACUGAGAGGGCACUGCAAUGUCUGAGGAAGAGGCUGAGACUGAGAAAGAAAAAGAAAAGACAAGAAUUGCUCAUCUACCUUAUGCUGGUUCCGUGUUCAGAAAGAUCAGUAGACCACCACAGAAAUAUAGCAUGCAGUGGAUUUUGCUCCCGUCAAGAUAAAAAGCACUGCUCGUAAUUUUGAAAACAAUCUAGAUCUCUCAAAACCAAGCAACCAGAGUGAAUGUAAUAUGUCUUACAUUGGGCAGACUGUUGCAACAGGGGAAGGAAGGAAAAAAGAUUAGGAUUUAAUAUCACACCAACAAUGAUGGAUCAGACACAGAGCACAAGCUUGAAUCAUUUUAAGAUGGAGAAGGAAAUCGGCCAUUCCCUUUCAAAGGAAUCAUUCUGGCAUUUGCUUGGAGUGAUUUCGGGAAAUCAUUUUCAACCAAAAUCUGGAUUGUCAGUUUGAACUGUCAUCCUCCUGAAUUCAAAUUCAGUGUGCUAACCACUGCACCACCUCAACUGGUAGGGAACAGUCGCUGAGGGGUGCAAUGAACAUCAGCAAUACACUUGACUAAAAGAACCAUGUAAAUUAGCUGUUGAUGGGCAAUGCUUCAUAAUCAUGAAAUGAAAUACAAUGAGCCCAGUAUUGUACAACAACAUAAUUAAGGAGCAUAUCACAAUUACAAUGUCAGAAAGCAUUACAAACCGAGACAGAAGUGGCAAAUUAAACAAUGCUUAAGAUCUUGCAAUCAACUUUUUACAAUCUAGCCAGCCAGAGUUAAAAAAAGCUGAGAGAACGUGCAUUUCACAGGAUAACAAAUGAGCAUUAAUGGGCAUAGAAGGUGCAAGAUGUUGAACCCUGCCAGUGGUGUGACACCUACAGGCAGUGAGUGUACAUAAAGACACAGCUCACAGCAUCUGAAGAUGAUGACUGUGCAAGUCACUGAAAUAUAGUGCACAUAAGUGGAAUCAAGUACUUGGCUGAAUAUCCACAAGCACACUGUUCACACAAUUCUCUGAAGAUUAAACAGUGAAUUAAGGUGCAAAAGUGAGCAAAACAAUAGUGCUUCAGUGGUACGUUGCCCUUGGUGUUAAUUUUGAUACUAGGGUUAAUGUUUUACCAUAUGAAUCUUACUGCAAGUUUUGAGGAGAUAACUCAUCACGCAUCUAAAAAGGAUGAACGGUUAAGAGUUCAACAUCUCACUGGUACUAACAAAGAUGCAGUAGUUGCUUGGUUGUAGAAGUACUGGAGAAAUAAAGCAGGCGUUACUUAUUUUAACAGUCAUUGCUUGGGUGAAAGCAAUCAAAACCUAAACCAGGAUGGUAAUUUAGAUGCACCUGAACGAAACUUCAGUAUGUCUUGCAUGGUACAAGAAAACACGGAGAUUAGUAACCACAUGAGAAGACAUGUUGCUUUAUGUACACCUGAGUUCAAAUUUCUAACAUCACUGGAAAAAUUUAUGAAACACACUGAUCAAGAACAAAGCCUCGAAGAACUAGGGCAAGGCUCGUAAGCUAUUAAACUUCACAACAGUGACUACAUUCUUCAACAAGAUGUGCUUUUUAUCAUGUUAUAAAAUACAUAAACAUAAACUGCUGAAGAAACAUUUAGAAUCUUCUGACAAAACAGCCACGCACAUUAAUAGAUUGUAGUGCCUCAAGAAUUUCGGUGUAAAUUCUGGAAACAUUGAGCCUUCCACCGUAUCGAACACCUGAUAUUUUAGGCACGUGUUCGGAAGAGUGAGAAUGUUUCUAUCGAUCCACCUGUUUUUAUGUGCAGGUUGGAAGUUUGUUAUUACAAGACUGUAAGAGGGGCGAGUCACAGACGAUGACAAGUGUUUGCCACCAGGGCCACAGAACACUUGAUGAAAACUCAAGGAAUAAUUAUGGAAUAUUCUUUGAUGUGUUAGUGAAAGUGAUUAUUGUAGAAAAAGAAAAGAAAACAACUGACUAUAUACUUUUAACUUACUUCAUGUCUCAGCUCUGCAUGAGGCAGGGCACGUGUGAUGUCUAUAAAUUAUUUGAUUGUUACAAUCUACGAUAUUGUACUUGUGUUUUAUCGAGUCUGACGUUUAAAGACACCAGUUGGUUUGCCAGAACUCAGAUACUUAUGUGAAAAAGAGUAAAUGUUGCUUUGUGUUGAGAGUUGAAAAUAUACCAUGAAGGAAUUGAAAGUGUUUCACGAGUACACAAAUUAUUUCAAGAAUAGAGAAGUAGCUUAAUAAAUUCCUUUAACCCGCUAUAGUCUUCGGAGAAGAAGCUUUUAGAGAUCGAUGUAACUGAUUACCCAGAGAAGAGGAUCGGCUGCACACAAUAUGUAAGUCAACUGCGAGAGACGUGUGUCUCUUGCACCC